CUCUAUUCCUGGACACUAAAGCAAGCACAAGUCCUGUACACGUCCAGUCCAGCUAGGCCAAAGCCUACAAGUCUGCAGCCACAUCUAAUCUGUCCAGGUAGUCAAGGCUUCAGAGAAUUAGCAAACUACUACUAGAGAACGGUAGACAAUGCAGGGAUUACAUUCAGAAGUACCAACUUGUAUCCUUCAUGGCGUAAAGUUAAACCAGGACAGUUCUUAUAUUGGCCCAAGGAUGGCCAUAGACUUCCUGCCGAUCCCGCUGCAACCACUGUACUGGAAUUCAGGAAUUACAACUCCCAUCAUCCCCUACAUAAAAAAAUUUAAGAUUUUUCACAUACAGAGCAGAGACAUUGGAAUUG